rnacentral:rRNA from 1 species
GAUGAACGCUAGCGAUAGGCUUAACACAUGCAAGUCGAGGGACCGGCGCACGGGUGCGUAACGCGUAUGCAACUUGCCUCACAGAGGGGGAUAACCCGUCGAAAGACGGACUAAUACCGCGUCCUGUGCGAUAGGCAUGCGUCCCAUUAGCUAGUUGGUGAGGUAACGGCUCACCAAGGCAACGAUGGGUAGGGGAACUGAGAGGUUGAAACCCCACGCUGGUACUGGGACACGGACCAGACUCGUACGGGAGGCAGGAGAGAGGAAUAUUGGGCAAUGGGCGAGGGCCUGAACCAGCCAAGUCGCGUGAAGGAUGACUGUGUAUGGAUUGUAAACUUCUUUUGUAGGGGAAUAUGUACCCUACGAAUAAGCAUCGGCUAACUCCGUGCCAGCAGCCGCGGUAAUAC